CCUACGGGUGGCAGCAGUGAGGAAUAUUGGUCAAGGGACGAGAGUCUGAACCAGCCAAGUAGCGUGAAGGAUGACUGCCCUAUGGGUUGUAAACUUCGUGUAUAAAGGAAUAAAACGAGGCACGUGUGCCUUUUUGCAUGUACUUUAUGAAUAAGGAUCGGCUAACUCCGUGCCAGCAGCCGCGGUAAUAUGGAGGAGCCGAGCGUUAUCCGGAUUUAUUGGGGUUAAAGGGAGCGUAGAGGGGUUGUUAAGUCAGUGGUGACAGUUUGCGGCUCAACCGGAAAAUUGCAAUUGAUACUUGCAGUCUUGCGUACAGUUGAGGUAGUCUGACUUCGUGGUGUCGCGG
rnacentral:rRNA from 1 species